UAACUUCGGGAAACCGGAGCUAAUACCGGAUAAUAUUUCGAACCGCAUGGUUCGAUAGUGAAAGANGGUUUUGCUAUCACUUAUAGAUGGACCUGCGCCGUAUUAGCUAGUUGGUAAGGUAACGGCUUACCAAGGCGACGAUACGUAGCCGACCUGAGAGGGUGAUCGGCCACACUGGAACUGAGACACGGUCCAGACUCCUACGGGAGGCAGCAGCC
rnacentral:rRNA from 1 species